GGUCAGUGAGGGUUGGAAUGAUGUCAGUGAGGUCAUAUGAGGACAAGGAGCUGAAGCCUCUGAUUGAGGUGGGGUCAUAUGAGGUCAUGAAGGAAAAAUUUGGAGGCAGUUGGGGUCAUAGCAGGUGACUUAACAAGCAAUUGGGGUCAUGAAGGGAUCAGGGAGGGUUGGAAUGAUGUCAGUGAGGUUAUAUGAGGACAAGGAGCUGAAGCCUCUGAUUGAGGUGGGGUCAUACAAGGUCAUGAAGGAAAAAUUUG